AUAUGGACGACAUAGUCGUACCAAUCAUGUCUAGCUAAUUAUUGGACACUUCGUAGUCAACCCAUAGCCGUAUAUUUAAAUAACAAUUAGUAAUAUCGUUUCACUGCCAAUAAAAAAUUACAUUAUUCAUAGAAUGGUGAUGUCAGUUCAUACACCGAACAUGUCGCAAAGGAACUUUCUGGAUUGGAACCCAGGGUCGUCGGCAUUCGGCUAGCGCCGCGUCAUCAUGAGCCAGCCAUGACGCCCAUUCAUGCAUCGCCGAAUCAAAAGCUGGGAUAGCUUCGAGACGAAGGACCUAUGUAUCGUAAGCUUCGCCACAAACGAAGUCGUAUCCGAUUUCGACCCGCCAGACGGGGUCCUAUCAAAGUAUCCCAGCCGGACAGAAUCGUAUCCCAGCAGGACAGAAUCGCAUCCCGUAGCAUCCGAGUCUAACAAGCCAUCGACAACAAGGACUUUGACUAUGGCAACCAAGCGAGGGGCUACGCGGGCUACUACACUUUAGAUACAUAUCGUUGUUGUUAGGUUUAAGGAUAUACGCGUUCAUACAUUUAGAUAGUAGAUACACAUUUUAUCCACUUGUUUAUUUAUUUAUACUAACGUACCCUAUACUAAGCUAAGUUCUGAUGAAUAAAAUGAUUGAAAACUCA